UACAGAGGGUGCGAGCGUUAAUCGGAAUUACUGGGCGUAAAGCGCACGUAGGCGGCUUGGUAUGUCGGGUGUGAAAUCCCCGGGCUCAACCUGGGAACUGCAUCCGAAACUGCCUUGCUCGAGUAUGGGAGAGGGAAGUGGGAAUUUCCGGUGUAGCGGUGAAAUGCGUAGAUAUCGGAAGGAACAUCAGUGGCGAAGGCGACUUCCUGGACCCAAUACUGACGCUCAGGUGCGAAAGCGUGGGGAG
rnacentral:rRNA from 1 species